CCUACGGGUGGCAGCAGUAGGGAAUCUUCCACAAUCGGCGAAAGCCUGAUGGAGCAACGCCGCGUGGGUGAAGACGGUCUUCGGAUCGUAAAACCCUGUUGUUAGAGAAGAAAGUGCGUUAGAGUAACUGUUCACGUUUCGACGGUAUCUAACCAGAAAGCCACGGCUAACUACGUGCCAGCAGCCGCGGUAAUACGUAGGUGGCAAGCGUUAUCCGGAUUUAUUGGGCGUAAGGGGACCGCAGUCGGUCGUUUAAGUCUGAUGUGAAAGCCUUCGGCUUAACCGGAGUAGUGCAUUGGAAACUGGGAGACUUGAGUGCAGAAGAGGAGAGUGGAACUCCAUGUGUAGCGGUGAAAUGCGUAGAUAUAUGGAAGAACACCGGUGGCGAAGGCGGGUCUCUGGGCUGUAACUGACGCUGAGGUGCGAAAGCGUGGGUAGCGAACAGGAUUAGAUACCCUAGUAGUC
rnacentral:rRNA from 1 species